CCGUGAGGGUUGGGUUAAGUCCCGCAACGAGCGCAACCCUAUUGUUAGUUGCCAUCACAUAAUGGUGGGCACUCUAAUGAGACUGCCCGGGUCAACCGGGAGGAAGGUGGGGACGACGUCAAGUCAUCAUGGCCCUUACGCCUAGGGCUACACACGUACUACAAUGGUGCAUACAAAGGGUUGCGAAACCGCGAGGUCAAGCCAAUCCCAAAAAAUGCAUCCCAGUCCGGAUCGGAGUCUGCAACUCGACUCCGUGAAGUUGGAAUCGCUAGUAAUCCCGGAUCAGCAUGCCGGGGUGAAUACGUUCCCGGGCCUUGUACACACCGCCCGUCACACCACGAAAGCUGGUUCUACCCGACAACGGCGGACUAACCCUUCGGGAGGUAGUCGUCUACGGUAGGGCUGGUGAUUGGGGUGAAGUCGUAACAAGGUA
rnacentral:rRNA from 1 species